rnacentral:rRNA from 1 species
GACGAACGCCGGCGGCGUGCCUAAUACAUGCAAGUCGAGCGAAUGGAUUAAGAGCUUGCUCUUAUGAAGUUAGCGGCGGACGGGUGAGUAACACGUGGGUAACCUGCCCAUAAGACUGGGAUAACUCCGGGAAACCGGGGCUAAUACCGGAUAACAUUUUGAACCGCAUGGUUCGAAAUUGAAAGGCGGCUUCGGCUGUCACUUAUGGAUGGACCCGCGUCGCAUUAGCUAGUUGGUGAGGUAACGGCUCACCAAGGCAACGAUGCGUAGCCGACCUGAGAGGGUGAUCGGCCACACAGGGACUGAGACAAGGCCCAGACUCCUACGGGAGGCAGCAGUAGGGAAUCUUCCGCAAUGGACGAAAGUCUGACGGAGCAACGCCGCGUGAGUGAUGAAGGCUUUCGGGUCGUAAAACUCUGUUGUUAGGGAAGAACAAGUGCUAGUUGAAUAAGCUGGCACCUUGACGGUACCUAACCAGAAAGCCACGGCUAACUACGUGCCAGCCGCCGCGGUAA